AACCUAGGUGGAAGCGCGUAGAGGUAAAGUGUAACUGGGAGUUCUUCAUAUCAUAGGGCUGGGAACCUAUAUAUUUGUCUCUAAUCUUACACAAUUCCUCACUUCACUCCAAUUUGUCCCAUCCCAAAGGACAAACGCAUUUCAAUCUUUUCCUCCAUUCUUCAAUUUAUGGCUUCUCCAAAGAGAGAAACAGAUGGCAAUGACGGUGUCUCUGACGGUGCCGGUGCUGAAGUUGCUCAUGGCGGUGCCGCUACUGGGAUUGCUGCUACCUCUGCUUCUUCAACUAUGCCCGACGAUUUGAUGAUAGAAAUACUGUCGCGGGUUCCGGUGAAGGCUCUCAUGCGGUUUAGGUGCGUUUCUAAGUAUUGGAAUUCCUUCGUUUUCGAUCCCAAUCUAGUGAAACUGCACCUUCAAAGAUCCCCAAGAGACAAACCAAUCCUCUACACGCUAUCCGACUAUGGCGAGUACGACGACGAUGCACAUUACCUGCACUGCUCCUCUACACAAAGCUUGCUCGAGAAUCCAAACUCCGUUGUUGGCAUCGAUGAUGACGGUGUUCCAGUCUUCGCCAACUACGACAUCGUUGGAGUCUGCAACGGAUUGGUGUGUCUGAGUAGAAUCCAUACUAAUCUUGACGAAAUCUGGGUCCGAUUUUGGAACCCUGCCACCAGACUCAGUUCGGAGGAAUCACCAUCUUGUUACAUAGAAUGUGGGUGCGCCAACAUGGCGUUUGGCCACGAUGCUUCAACCGACACUUAUAAGGUGGUGGCGGCAGUGUUGAGUGACGCUAAAACUCACAAAAUCGAACUUAUAGUUCACAAUCUUGGAGAUGAUUGUUGGAGGGAGAUUCGAACUACCGAUGCUGAUUUUCCUUCGGAGUUUCGUCAAACCAAAGGAGUGUUUCUGAAUGGCACCCUUAACUGGGUGACAGUACUUGGCACUGGGAAUUCCAGAUCGUUGGUGGAUUUUUGCUUUGACUUAGCCAGUGAGACGUACACAUGCUUUCAACUGCCUAAUGAUGUGGGAGAAGGUUUCUCAGAACUUGGAGCUUUUGGGGGUUGUCUCUGUCUCUCCCACAUUUACCAUAGAGAAUCUUUUGCUUUCUGGCAAAUGAAGGAGUUUGGAGUUUAUCAAUCUUGGACUAUGUUGAUGAACAUCAGUUACAACUAUUUUGAGUUUCCCCGGUACCUCAUUCCGCGUCCCUUGUGCUUGUCUGAAGACGGCAAUAUCCUGAUCCUGGUAUGCCAUGCGGAAUACCAACUUGUUUGGUGUAAUCGGAGACAUUGCCAGAUAGAGCAUUUUGAAAUUCCCCACAAAUGGGUUUCCCUCAAGUCCACCGAUUACGUUCAGAGCUUGGUGUUGCCUUAUCCUACUACCUGACCUCUGUCCAAUCAAAUCAUGUUUUGUUGUUCUUGGUUAAUAUCUCAUCCAGGAAAUAACAGGACUCCUCUUUAUAGACAUAAGGACGCAUCGUGGACUACCAUCGUGGACUACCAUCGUGGACUACGGUAGUAGGAAGAAAGAAGAGAAGAGGAUUAUUAGAAGAAUAAUUAUAAUUUGUUUUAGUACCUGUUCUGUAAAAGUCGUUUAUUAUGACUCUCAUGAUGAACCUUUCUUUAAAGUUCUUCAAUAAAAUACAUUAUAAGAAACUUGUUUAAUAGUAUUUAUAAGUGAUUAGAUGCAGCUUUUGCUGCACCAUCCAGGUAUAUUAUUAGCAUUGUUGUUUGUUGCACUAUUUUCUCUCUUAAUAGUAUAUUUA